AAGCCCCGGCACCUUUUACUGUGCUUCUUCAAAUUUGCAUUUUGCUGUGCGAUCANCUCCUGGGCUU
rnacentral:tRNA from 1 species